ensembl:lncRNA
CUUUUUUUUUCCUUUCUUUUUUUUUUUUUUUUUUACAUCUAUCCAUUUAAUUCAAGCAAUUUCAGUGGAUUGUAAUUUAGCUGUGUACUUAAACGAACAUGCCCAAACACUGAACGAUACACAGAGACUUCUGCCUGUCAUAUAAGUGAAGCAAAGAGUUUUCUGAGAUGUUUUGUAUUGGUUUUACCUGGAGUUUCAAAGUCCCUGUUUUGGCCCUGACACAGCUGGCUGGGAAGCUAACCUGCAUGUUUGUUGUGUUUGGUCCUUAGCAGAAGGAAAAGCUGUGAGUGAAAGUUCAUACGUAAAUAACUGUUCUUUUUUUCCCUUCCUUCCAGCCUUUUUCUGCCUCAGACGUGACUUCGCUGCAGUCAGCUUUUAAUUCUUUUUGGGAUAUCUUUGAAAUCAGUUUGAUAUUCUCGGACAUAUCAGUGGAGAUUAAAGGCAAGGACCUCUGCUAGGAUCUGCUCCCUAGCCCCUAUUUUAACGAAAGGUAAGAAGUAACACAAAUCAUCUUUGGGAAUGUAAAACAUCUGAAUGCUUUGCUAGCAGCGAGGAAGAUACUGCAAAAAUUGAGAUUUAACAUCAUCAACAUCUGGGAGUUGAGAACCAUUGGCUAGUAAGCCUGAAGCAGAUACUAGUGCUCUUGCUAUGCUGCCCUAACUUCGACUACUCGUGGCUUAGUUACACCAUGACUUUAGGCAUCUACCUCCACUCCAGGUGGUGGAGAAUUCAUCAUGUUCCCCAGCUGGACAGCUGCCGCAGGGUGGGAAAGCCAUUCAACUCUGUGGAUGUGCACUGUUUAUUGGAGAGAGCCCACUAAUUCUGAUGGCUCUGCUUGCUGUGUGUCUGCGUACCAUCUGAGAGUGGUCUGCAAAGCUCCAGUAGCUUCUUCACUUUGCCUCCCACUGAUUUUGCAUCUCCCCAGUGUUUAAAAAUGCUUCAAUCUUAUGGCGAAGACAGACUCACCUUCAGAGAGAAGAAUCACACCACUGUCUUCUCAUCAGGCUGUCUGUCACAAAGUCAUCGCUCCAUCCCACCCACACGGAGCAGCAGCUCUCCUCGAUCCCACACAGCCACCAGCAUGGAGCAGACCUACAGUACCCAAUGAAGAGGACCAUCACUGUUGUUUCCCAGUCUUCAAAAGACUGCAGAUGGAUGAACAGACAGCCACCACCUUUUUAAGACCACUGCACCUUUCUUCUCUUUUUAACGAGAGAUCAUUAACCUUGUUCUAAAAAAUGCACAGGUUGGAGGGCAGUGGUUUGAGCACUGUAUUCCUGUUUGGCUACACACACUGCCCUUGAUGCCAGCAGUUUACAUCCUAUCAAGGAUUUAAGCUCUGCUGGGAUUAUGGCAAGGUUUUUAUGACAGCUAAAAGCAGGGGUCACUCCAAGUAAUUACGGCGGCCGCCCCCAAGGACACGAGCGGCGAACAUGAUUUAUCACCAUUGGCAUCACAGCUCCCCGAGGUGCCGGGGAGCAAGGAAGGCUGAAGUAAUGCUGAUGGGAUACCUGCAGUAUUUCUAGGCCUCCUGCUCUCAGCAGCAAUAGCCCUCUUUGCAGUGUUCCCUAGGAAGCUUCAGGCUGGAGGAAGGUUCAGAGAGAGGGGGAGAAAGAGUCAUUACUUUGUGAUACCCCACUUCCAUCACUGCUCUCACCGGCUCCUGUUCAGAGGCAGAGGGAAGAAGCUUGCUGGUGCUAGCAGGAUGCAAAGGUGUUUGUUCCUGCCAAGGGUAUUUACAAAGAUAGAAGAAACUUUUGGAUACCUAUCACGUGUUCUGGGAAGAAGGGGUCAUGGCUGCAGCACAAGUGGAGAAGCUCCAGGAAACCUUCCCAAGCUUGUUUUUAAGGUAAAAACGUUCUCCAUGCUAUCAUUUCAGAAAUAGUAAACAGACUCCCCGGUGUUACAAUGAAGUCUUGGCCUAAUCACAAUCCAUAUAUUUUUCUGCAGAAAAUCCUCACCAACUUCUACCUGAAAGUGUCAAAAGAGUACAGGUUGAGAACCUAAGAUGUACUCCAAUUCUGUAAGAUUCCUAGAGUCAGAAGGGCUAUGAAGUCUCCAAUCACAAUGACAGACACACAAAAUUGUGUAUGUGGUUAAUGCCCCAUUAGUUUUCACUGUUAGAUCUUCUCUACAUACGCACACAGGGAAGAAAAUAAUCCUAUGGGCCGUGUUCCAUCAUUAUUAGAUCAGCUUCGAGGGCCUCAAAGUUUUGGAAUAAAAAGACCUUUCUUUCUUUCUAAAGGGAUAACUGGCCUACACGGGUUUUAUCAUACGCUUCUCACCGUGUUUGUAUGGACAUUGCAAGGACACCUAUAGAGGAAAGCAGCAAACAGAGGUGAAGCAAGCCCGCCCUGACCUGGAGCAGCAUUACCACAGCUCUAAUUUUGUCUCUAAUUUGGGAAUAACCUUAUUCUGUGACAAAUAUGCUUCGCGACUAAUUACCCAUUGAAAUUCUCCUUCGAGUGCCAGAGUUUCCCACGGAUGUUUUGCAGGAAACAAAGAGCACAAAGGCGAUGAUAUUUCAGGAUUAUUUCCCCACUGCUGCAAAUUUAGCAGCUCUGUUCACAGUCCGUCCUUUCGACAUUUUUAGUUACCUCCUCGAGUCACAAGAUGGCAGCAACAACCCACACUUCAAAGCCUGACGGCCACUUCCAGCCUGAGACCCUGGCAGUCCUCCGCCGUCCCUUCUUGUAUUCCCAGUGGGGGAAGACGCUCACCCAGGCGUUGGGGAGGACUCUGCUGGAAGAGCAUCCAGCCCAUCUCAGAUCAGUUCCUCCUGCAGGAAAUACCUUCUCGGAUCAUCUUUGCACCAUCAGCCCGUGGUUUCUUUAGCAGUUGGUUUUCUCAGCUGCAAGUAGAACAGCAGGGUCACGCACAUUCGGCGUAAGACGGCAGAGCGCUCUGGCCUGUGCUCUCUGCAAACUUGCUGCAGUUACCAACCAGAGCUUCGCUGCCUCCUCAGCCCAGACCCUUCCCAAGGCCUUCAGCCUCCCCUCAUCCCCAGCCAUGAACCACUUUCUCCAUCUCUUCCCCUCUACCUAGACUGCUCUCUCCAAGCACUAAACACAGACAGCCUUUCAGGGGGCUUUCCUCAUGGACUCGUGUCUCCAUUAGUUCAGAGGCUUCUGUUUCUUCUACCAGCCUUUAUUUAUUUACUUACUUACUUAUUUUUAUAACCACCUCUUUCCCCAUGUAUACAUAGACUGAUUUGCAUACAGAGCUGCCUCCUGCUUUCCACUGGCUCCUGCUGAGCUCCAUCUUUACCUGCAUAUGGAGAGAGGUGCCAACCUGAAUGACUGCUGGAUCGUGGAAUGCCAAAGUAGAACACAUAGACAGACAGACAGUUCCUUUCAUUUCAUUCUGUUUUCAGUAUUUGCUUACAGGCCACAGAUGCCUUUUGUCACCCAACAGGCCAUGCAUUAUGCAGCAUUUCCCCAUGCAAUAUCCCAUGACAGAUCGCUUCCCAGGAGGGUGACCACAGCACAGCAAGCCCUCCCACAUAUCCCACUGUUGCUGAUGCAUUUGGUGCAUACUCUCCCAGGGGCAGAAAUAGCAACAAGGACUAGGGUGUUUAAAAUUCAUGGCAACAGACGGAACAAAACCUCUUGUAGAACAAGUGUGAGGUGCAAUUAGGCUGCUCAAAGGUUUGCUUUCCCCAGCCCUGUUCUCUGCCUACAAGCUGUACCGCCCACACUGAACCUUGCACCCUUCACAAGCCACUCAAACUAAUGACAACAUAUUGGCUACCUGGAGAGAUAAUGUGGGGCUCUCAAGCUUUCCCUGAGAGAAGCCAAGGCAGUUAUACUGGAGUACAGCAUCAUCUUAGUAUCAUAGAAUGGCUUAGAAUGUGUUAGAACAGACCUUAAAGAUCACCCACUUCUCUGGGCAAUCUAUUCCAGUGCCUCUCCAUCCUAAGUAAAAAAAUCCUCCUAACAUCUACUCUAAAUCCCUUCUUGUAACUGUUUAAAACCACUCCCCCUUAUCCUAACACUAUCAGAUUUUGUAAAAUGUUGAUCUCUCUUGUUUGUAAAAGGUCUUACAGGUCUCCUCAGAGCUUUCUACAGGCUUCUUCAGGCUGAACAAGCCCAGCUUGCUCAGCCUUUCUUUAUAAGAGAGGUGCUCCAGCCCUUUGAUCAUCUCAGUGGCCCUUCUCCGGACUCACUCCAACGGCUGUAUGUAUUUCUCAUUCUGGGGGCCCCAAGCCCCCAGGACAUGGUACUCCAGAUGGAGCCACACGAGGGCAGAGUAGAGGAGCACAAUCACCUCCCUCUCCCUGCUGCUCCCACCUCUUUUGAUGCAGCCCAGGACGCUGCUGGCCUUCUGAGCUGCAAGAGCACAUUGCUGGCUGAUGUCCAGCUUUUCGUCCAUCAGGAACCCCAAGUCCUUCACGGCAGAGCUGCUGUCAGUGAGUUCUUCUCCCCAGCUAUAC